UAUGUCUAAUAUAUACUAUGGGAUAAAUGCGGUUCCCAUUUUCGCGUCCUCUACUCAACAUUUCAGGCUCCUAGGUUGAUUGAUACUGAGGUAAUGAACUGAGACAAUGUAUCACGGAGUUCGUACACUCCAGUCCAGACCAUCAUCUCGAGUUGUUGCGUCCACAGAAACAUACUAGUGAAAGGCUUUCAUGUGUGAAGUUAUAUGAUGUCACGGGGGAGGACGCUCUGUGUCACCUUCACUACAACAAUACAGGACUUGUCAUAGUGUUUUGAAAGGACAGGGGUGGCGACUUUGACUAUGGUGCCGUAAUGUGUCACUCAUAAAACAGGUUGCGGGGGAGGGAGGUAACGCCUCUCGUUAGAGGGUGAAGUACAGUGCAGUACAGUACAGUACGGUAGAAGUACCUAAAGCUCACCCGGCCAUUUAGAAUGAAUGGAGCUGCACAAGCAAGCUUCAAUGCUCGGGAGAUGAAUGCAUCCAAGUCGAAGAGGCGUUCUUUCUGCUUGACGGGAAGCAACUCGUCGCAUUGGACGUCCGAUGGUUUUGAAGUGCUGGUCGUGGAGAGAUGUGGGGGAGGAAGAAGAGGAGAGACGGGAGUGGAUGGAAUGAGGGAGCAAAGAGAUGGAGGGGUGAUGGCCGGAAAGGGGCUGAUUCCGUCCUCGUCGGUUAAGUGAUGCGGCUCCACGUCCGGGUAGUGAAAGACGGGAGUCGGGAGGUCCGUAGGGGACAGCGGGAGAGGCGGGGAGGAGGUGAAGCAGGGGUGCGGCUCCAGAGAUGGACUUGGACUGGGGGAGUCCAGAUGGGACUGGGUGCUCUCCACCCAGCGGGAGAUCUCCUGGAAUAAAUCUCCUGUCCCGGUUCCCGUUCCUGCAACCUCGUCAUCCACGUUCAUCUCCCUCUCAUCCUCCAAGCUUCCCCCAAGUGGCUGGAUGGGCACCGGAGGGGUGAUUGUGUUACGCUUCCAGUGGGACAGAUCCAGAAUGAGGCGGGGUUCCGAGUAGUGCUGAGGUUUGCCAUCCCGCCACGCAAUCCGGUCCAGAUAGGACGGCGAGCCCACCUUGUAGUCACACGAGCGGCCGCAGUCCAGAUCGCCGAACCCGAAACCGCAGGCCCGGUCUAGAGAGGAGUGGGAAUGCUCCAGGAAGCGUUCGGCGGAGCUGCUGUGGGAAUAUUUGCGCGGGUCCACCUUGACGGAAUGACAAACAAUAAAGGUGGCGAAGGUUGCAGGUGAGCUGGAGCUUUUCCCUUUCCUGACUUUGAGCAAGACUUGAGGUACACCUUCACAGGUGUCUUGAAUGAACCUAACAUGCAUAUUUUUGGUAUGCGGAAUGAAGCCAGAUCACCUGAAGUAAAGCCACGCUGGCAGAGAUUCGAAACAGAACUGUGAGGUGGAUGUACGUACUAAGCACUUCUCCACCACGCCUUGAUAUUUCAAAUGGUCCAAAAGAACUACACAUUUGUCCUUCCGGCAGUUCUUCUGUUUCCAUCCAUCCAUUCAUACAGCCAUUUUCCAGUGUAUCGAUUUUAUUUUAUGUAUUAUAUUUGUAUGUAUUUCAAUAAAGUCUUUAAAAAAAUUCCA